rnacentral:snRNA from 1 species
AUGCUCACUUCAGCAGCACAUAUACUAAAAUUCGAAUGAUACAGAGAAGAUUAGCAUGGCACAUGUGCAAGGAUGACAUGCAAAUCUGAAAAGAAAAUUUAUUAUUU